CCGCGACACAGGUGUCGUCCCCCGCCCACCGCCUUCUUGGGAGCCUGGACGGGACCUGGUCUGGGCCGGCCAAGGACGCAGCCCCCCGGGGCCAGCUCCGCCUCUCGUCUCGGGGCGCGUUUGUGGUGGAGCUCGAGGCAUCCAGAAUCCCACCUCCUCUACUUUCCCUGGAACUCACUGUCUACUUAGCCUGUUGGAGGCAGCUAUUUGGUUUUGCUAGGAACUGGUCCAGUGAGGCUGUGCACAGCGUAUCUUCCCCAAGACUAAAAUGUGUCACUGUGUUUAAGGGUGGAGACUGGGUUUUGCAAAGCUUCUUGGUGUCUUUCUUAAAAGUUACAAUGUGUGAUGAAUCAUACAACCCCUGUGCCCCAUGA
rnacentral:lncRNA from 1 species